CGCGUAGGCGGGCCUUCAAGUCGGAUGUGAAAACUAGCGGCUCAACUGCUGGCCUGCAUCCGAUACUGGAGGUCUUGAGUACAGGAGAGGAGAGUGGAAUUCCAGGUGUAGCGGUGAAAUGCGUAGAUAUCUGGAAGAACACCCGCAGCGAAGGCGACUCUCUGGCCUGAUACUGACGCUGAAGCGCGAAGGCUUGGGUAGCAAACA
rnacentral:rRNA from 1 species